UCUCUCCUCCUUUUCAGAGAGUGAGUGCAGUUCAUGCUAGGAGUGGAAGGCAUUCUUCUUAGGCUACUUGGGUAUCAGGAGACCCAGCCCUUUCCCUGUGAAUAUUUGAUUUUACUUCUUGUGAGUGUUCAGCUCCUGCUUAACAACAGGCAACAUGAAGAGUGAGAUUGGAGGUGAGAAGGUACUUAUCUGCUGCUUGUGAGCAAGGCUCUGUAAGGGGUAGGCUCCCCCACAAGACAACCCGGUGGUUGCUCAGGAAACUGUGAGACAAACCGUGCUCCCUGAGAAGAAAGGGGGACUCAACAGUCUAUGGCUCUGAUAACCUUAGCUGGUGGCCUGGCUUCCUUCUGAUAAGAGAAAGAGAAGUACAAAACAUUCACCAGACUGUAGCACCUUUCACCAUCCUCUCUGAGCUGCAAUGAAGAUAAAAACAAAGCUAUUCAUGACCUACCAUGCUUUGAAUGGACCCAGCCUCUCUCUCCCAGAAAUUCAUGUUAAAAUGAAAAAAUGUAACCAAAUUUGAGAGCCAUAUUUUCCUCCUGAGCCACAAUUAUCCUGAUCCCUCAUUCAAAACAACUCUGUGAUGAAGACAACAGUACAUUUUUCCUGUCUGUUCCAUUCUGCCUAAAUCACAUACCUCUGAAGAAUCUGCUCAGGAUCACCUUGUCAUAUACAGAACCUCCAGG
rnacentral:lncRNA from 1 species